GUAGUUAGCCGGGGCUUCCUCCUUGGCUACCGUCAUUUUCUUCGUCACCAAGGACAGAGGUUUACAACCCGAAAGCCUUCUUCCCUCACGCGGCGUUGCUGGGUCAGGCUUGCGCCCAUUGCCCAAUAUUCCCCACUGCUGCCUCCCGUAGGAGUCUGGACCGUUUCUCAGUUCCAGUGUGGCCGAUCAGCCUCUCAGCUCGGCUACCCAUCGUUGACUUGGUGGGCCGUUGCCCCGCCAACUAUCUAAUGGGACGCGAGCCCCUCUUCCUGCGGAUUUCUCCUUUGACCCCUCUGCCAUGCGACAAUGUGGUCUUAUGCGGUAUUAGCAGCCGUUUCCAACUGUUGUCCCCCUCUGAAAGGCAGGUUCCUCACGCGUUACUCACCAGUCCGCCACUAAGUAACUAAAUCCAUUGACCGAAAUCUCUUUCAUUAGCACUCCGUUCGACUUGCAUGUNUUAAGCACGCCGCCAGCGUUCGUCCUGAGCCAGAAUCAAACUCUGA
rnacentral:rRNA from 1 species